CGGCAACACAAACAUGAAUCCAUUUUGGCAUUUCCUCUACCUAUUUCCACAUCACAUGAAUGUGACAAAAACCCACCAAGCAGUCGGAGUCUCAGAGAGUAAAAAACCUCCACCAGUCGGACCCAUGCGUUUUGUUUUGAGACGAUUGUAAGAUCAACAAAGGGCGGUGCGCUGAUGACGUCCUUUUCUCGUGGUGCUUUUAGUUCUUCAGCUAUCAAAGUUAAGUCCUCCUAACUAGAGUUUAGAACUAAGAGUACUUCGUGACUAAGAAAUUGUAAUGUAUUUCUCAUGAGUUUAUGGUUGUUCAAUUGUAAUGUUUUUUGGUAUGUUAGACCUACUAGAUUUUUCUAAGAAACACGUUUGACAUGUCUUGUGUUAUGUAUGGUCCUGACUAUUUUAAAAAUCUCAUUAUCUAAAGAAAAAAAAAGAAUGUGACGAAGAUCGGGUGGCAAUUUUACUAAUUUUGAAGAAAAAUACUAGCUAUGCUCUUGAGUAUCAAUGUAAUUUCGUAUUGAAACAACAAAUCCUAACCCGAUUUGUGUACUAAUUUAUGGAAAUGCUGUUUCCCUUCCCAUCUA